CAAUAGCGUAUAUUAAAGUUGUUGCAGUUACGCACCUCGUAGUUGGAUUUGUGCUGAGGACGACCGGCCCGCCCUCCGGGUGAGCAUCUGGUUCGGCCUUGGCAUCUUCUUGUUGAACGUAUCUGCAUUUGACUGUGUGGUGCGGUGCCCAGGACUUUUACUUGAAGAAAUUUGAAUGUUUCAAGCAGGCAUACGCCUUGAACACAUUAGCACGGGAUAAUGAGAUAGGACCUUGGUUCUAUGUUGUUGGUUUCUAGAGCUGUGGUAAUGAUUAAGACAGAUAGUUUGGGGCAUUCGUAUUUAACUGUCGGAGAUGGAAUUCUCGGAUUUGUUAAAGACGGAUUACUUCGAAAGCAUUUGCCAAGGAUGUGUGCAUUGAUCAAACACGAAAGUAAGGGAUCGAAGAUGAUUAGAUAC
rnacentral:rRNA from 1 species